ACUAUAGGGGAACAGAGGAACUAUAGGGGAGCAGGUUAACUAUAGGGGAACAGAGGAACUAUAGGGGAACAGAGGAACUAUAGGGGAGCAGAGGAACUAUAGGGGAAUAGAGGAACUAUAGGGGAGCAGAUUAACUAUAGGGGAGCAGUUGAACUAUAGGGAGCAGAGGAACUAUAGGGGAGAAGAUGAACUAUAGGGGACUAGAUUAACUAUAGGGGAACAGAGGAACUAUAGGGGAAUAGAGGAACUAUAGGGGAGCAGAUUAACUAUAGGGGAACAGAGGAACUAUAGGGGAGAAGGUUAACUAUAGGGGAACAGAGGUACUAUAGCGGAGCAGAGGAACUAUAGGGGAGCAGAGGAACUAUAGGGGAGCAGAGGAACUAUAGGGAGUAGAGGAACUAUAGGGGAGCAGAGGAACUAUAGGGGAACAGAGGAACUAUAGGGGAACAGAGGAACUAUAGGGGAACAGAGGAACUAUAGGGGAGCAGAUGAACUAUAGGGAGCAGAGAAACAAUAGGGGAACAGAGGAACUAUAGGGGAGCAGAGGAACUAUAGGGGAGCAGAGGAACUAUAGGGGAGCAGAUUAACUAUAGGGGAGCAGAGGAACUAUAGGGGAACAGAGGAACUAUAGGGAGCAGAGAAACAAUAGGGGAGCAGAGGAACUAUAGGGGAACAGAGGAACUAUAGGGGAACAGAGGAACUAUAGGGGACUAGAUGAACUAUAGGGGAACAGAGGAACUAUAGGGGAGCAGAGGAACUAUAGGGGAGCAGAGGAACUAUAGGGGAGCAGAGGAACUAUAAGGGACAGGAUUAACUAUAGGGGAACAGAGGAACUAUAGGGGAGCAGAGGAACUAUAGGGGAGCAGAUUAACUAUAGGGGAACAGAGGAACUAUAGGGGAACAGAGGAACUACAGGGGAGCAGAUUAACUAUAGGGGAACAGAGGAACUAUAGGGGAACAGAGGAACUAUAGGGGAGCAGAGGAACUAUAGGGGAGCAGAGGAACUAUAGGGGAACAGAGGAACUAUAGGGGAACAGAGGAACUAUAGGGGAGCAGAUUAACUAUAGGGGAACAGAGGAACUAUAGGGGAGCAGAGGAACUAUAGGGGAGCAGAGGAACUAUAGGGGAACAGAGGAACUAUAGGGAGCAGAGGAACUAUAGGGGAACAGAGGAAC
rnacentral:lncRNA from 1 species